CGCUCUCCUACGGAUUUCCUGCCUGGUAGCGCCUGAUUUCUUAAGGCUCCUCCGUUUUUCAGCUAGGUUUUUUUUUUGUUUGUUUGUUUGUUUGUUUGUUUUUUUUCCCUCCAGCUGUUCACUCUUGUUCCUCUCUUCCCUCUUUUUUCUUGGUCUACGACUCUUCGUUUCGCCUGUCAGUCACAUGGAAAACAAGGACAAGCUGAUUCGAGACUUCAGUGGUAAACUGUUGCAUGAUUCUUCCUCCCUCAGCUAUGCAGAGAAAACUAAUUAGUGGCCUGUUUCAGGCCAUUCAUGAUUACUCAGUCCAGUAAAUCGAGGGACAGUUCCGGUGGUGGGAUCCUAGCUUGGAGUAAAGUCUGCAGCUGUAUUCGGAAAUCAGGUGGUGAUUGAAAAUGAAAGGAUAAAGGACUGGGCUGAUCGAUGGUGCACAUUAGUUGGCUGGUGGUCCAGGCUCUGUGCUGGGGCCAGGGCAAAGCGAUAAAUCAGGCUCUAGCCUGCUCUGAGUAAGCGCACAGCUUAGGGUCAAGACUGUUUUGUUUUGCUUUUCUUUUUACAGCUGCACCAGCAGCAUAUGAAAGUUCCUAGGCUAGGGGUCAACCCACCUGAGCCACAGCCACAUCAAAGCCAGAUCCUAGCCAAGUCCACAACCCACACCGCAGUUCACCGCGAUGUCAGAUCCCAGGGAUCCAACCCACAUCCCCAUGGAUACUAGUCAAGAUUGUUACCACAAUGGAAAUUCUUGGGCAAGACUGUUAAAACCUACUAGAGAUGCAUGUGGACGGGCAGGGCAGUGAGGAGAAAGGAAUAGCUGUCUACUCACCAUGGCAAACUAGGAUGAGCCCCUGGCUCCUUCCUGGAAAAUCAGCUCCGAAGAAAUGAGAGGCAAAUGGAUUUCAGCAACAAAAUGAGACACACACACACACCCCCAGCUGUCUUGGACUAGAGGAUGUGGGAAAUGGAUGGCUUCUGUUGGGGCAGAGAAGAGCUGGAAGGGCAAGGAAAAGAUUAAGAGACAAAAACUGUUUGAGUUCUAUGCUUGCUUCUCCCCAGCAUGGCCUUGGAAUGGUCAUUGCCUGCCAUUUGCCAAGAAAUCAACAGUGCCAUCUCAGUCCUCUAGUGUCAGAGGACACUGGACAAGGGCAGGGCAACAUGAAAGCUCAUCAAGGGAAAGGGGUUGCAAAGAGCAAGUUUAGACUGACCUGCUGUCUGUGGGCAUCCAUCCCUCCACAGCUUCCAAGCCCUGAGUACUGUGCUUUACAAAGUGUCACCAGACCAAGGGGCCAUUGUCAUUCUCUGCCCUCCUUGUGUGUGCUGUGCCCUGGUAACCUUUACUACAGCCUGGAGAAAGAGGUGACUUACUUUUUGUAAUUCAUCUGCCCAGAAGGAGCUCCUUUUUGUAAUUGAAACAAUGUGUAAGGAGGCCAGGAAAUCCAGCUAGCUGCAUAACAAACAACUUAGUUGCAUAAAACCAUAAAUGUAUUAUAUCUCCUGAUGCUAGGGCUCUGCUAGACAGUUCUAAGGGUCUCACUUGGGGUUUCUCAUGCCUCUACUGAGAUGGUAGCUAGGGGUUAGAUGUUGGACACCUCUGUGUCCCCAAUGAGGCCUCUCUGUGUAGUAUCCCAUCCUCUCACUUUUCUUUAUGGCCUCUCUCCAGCAGGUUAGCCCAGACAUCUCACAUGACAUCCCAGGGCUCCAAGUUCCAAGUAAGUGGAAACUACCAGAACUUUUGAAGAAUGUCACAAGCCCAGUCCAGAUUCAAGAGAAGAGGACAUAAGCAAUGCAGGAGCCGCAUGAACAUAAAGGGAGGGGCACACUUAUUUGGGGCCAUCUCAGUAGACUAGCUACCACAGGGAGGGAACCACUGGUUGCCCUGCCCGAUACAUCCUGUUCUUUCUGAAUAUCUGAAAAGAACCCCACCAAAUGCCCUUCCUGAUCCAGAUUAAAGUGUUCCUCGUGUUAGGCAAGACUUCCUAGUACAAGUUAUAAAACCCCGACUCAAACAGGCUUUAUGCAGAAAGGGGUCAUUUAGUAUUCCAGUAUCAUUUAACUGAGAAGUUCAGGCAUCUUCAGAUGUCAACAAGGGUCAAUCCAAUCCCACUCCCUAAUCCUCUGCUCCGUUUUAUUCCCCUCUGGCCUCUUCUCACUGGCCAUGUGACCAGGCACAAAAGAUGGCUGUGUCUUUAGGCUUAGAGUCUACCAGCUCCAGCUGCAAAGCCAUGUCUCAUUUGCAGUUCACUUUAUUGUGCUUCUCAGAUAGUGCGUUAUUUACAAAGUGAAAGUUUGUGGGAAACCUGCAAGUCUAUAGGUGUCUUUCUCCAACAUCAUUUGCUCACUUCAUUUCUCUAUAUCACAUUUGGUAAUUCUCACAAUAUUUCAAACUUUUUCAUUGUUAUUAUAUUUAUUAGGGUGAUCUUUAAUUAGUGAUGUUUGAUGUACUAUUGUAAUUGUUUUGAAGUACCAUAAAUUGGCCCAUAUAAGAUAACAAACAAUGGGUAAAUGCUGCAUGUUCUGACUGCUUCACCAACAAGCUGUUCCCUUGUUUUUUCUCCUUUUCUUCAGGCCUCCCUAAUUCCUAAGACACAAUAUUGAAAUUAGGCCAAUAAAUAAUCUUGCAUUGGCCCCUAAGAGUUCAGGUGAAGGGAAGUGUCACAUGUCUCUCCCUUUAAAUCAAAAGCUAGAGAUGAUUAUGCUUAGUGAGAAAGGGAUGUCAAAAGCUGAGAUAAGCUAAAAGCCAGGCCUCUUGAACCAAAAAUUUAGCCAAGUUGUGAAUGCAAAGGAAAAGUUCUUGAAGGAAACUAAAAGUGCUAUUUCAGCGAACACAUGAAUGAUGAGAGAGUGAAACAGCUUUAUGCUGAUAUGGAGAAUGUUCUAAUGGUCUGGAUAGAAGAUCAAACAAGCCACAACUUUGAAGCCAAAGUCGAAUCCAGAGCAAGGUCCUAACUCUCUUAAAUUCUAUAAAGACAGAGAAAGAUGAGGAAGCUGCAGAAGAAAAGUUUCAAGUUAGCAGAGGUUGGUUUACAAAGUUGGAGGAAAGAAGCUGUCUCCAUAACAUAAAAGUACAAGGUGAAGGCACAAGUGGUGAUGUAGAAGUUGCAGCAGGUUAUCCAGCAGAUCUAACUAUGAUAAUGAAUGAAGGUAGCAACACUAAGCAGUAGAUUUUUAACGUGGACAAAAUAGCCUUAUAUUGGAAGAAGAUGCCAUCUAGGACUUGCAUAGCUGGAGAGGAGAAAAUGCCUGGCUUCAAAUCUUCAAAAGACAGGUGGACUCUCAUUAGGGGCUGAUGCAGCUGAUGACUUGAAGUCAAUGCUCAUUUACCAUUCCCAAAAUUCUAGGGCCCUGAAAAAUUAUGCUCAGUCUACUCUGCCUGUCCUCUAUAAAUGGAACAACAAAGUCUGAAUGACAGCAUAUCUAUUUACAACAUGGUUUACUGACUCUUUUAAGUCCAUUGUUGAGAACUGCUGCUCAGAGGAAAAGAAAAAGGAUAUUUUCAAAGUGUUGCUGCUCAUUGACAAUGCAUGUAGUCAUUCAAAAGCUCUCAAUGAGAUUCAUGUUGUUUUCAUGCUUGCCAGCACAACAUCCAUUCUGUAACUCAUGGGUCAAGAAAUAAUUUGGGGAGUGCCCGUCGUGGCACAGUGGUUAAUGAAUCCGACUAGGAACCAUGAGGUUGCGGGUUCAGUCCCUGCCCUUGCUCAGUGGGUUAAUGAUCCGGCGUUGCCGUGAGCUGUGGUGUAGGUUGCAGACACGGCUCGGAUCCUGUGUUGCUGUGGCUCUGGCAUAGGCCAGUGGCUACAGCUCCGAUUCGACCCCUAGCCUGGGAACCUCCAU
rnacentral:lncRNA from 1 species